rnacentral:rRNA from 1 species
GGAAUUUUGGACAAUGGGCGCAAGCCUGAUCCAGCCAUUCCGCGUGCAGGAUGAAGGCCUUCGGGUUGUAAACUGCUUUUGUACGGAACGAAAAGGUGCCUCCUAAUACGGGGUGCUCAUGACGGUACCGUAAGAAUAAGCACCGGCUAACUACGUGCCAGCAGCCGCGGUAAUACGUAGGGUGCAAGCGUUAAUCGGAAUUACUGGGCGUAAAGCGUGCGCAGGCGGUGAUGUAAGACAGGUGUGAAAUCCCCGGGCUUAACCUGGGAACUGCACUUGUGACUGCAUUGCUGGAGUGCGGCAGAGGGGGAUGGAAUUCCGCGUGUAGCGGUGAAAUGCGUAGAUAUGCGGAGGAACACCGAUGGCGAAGGCAAUCCCCUGGGCCUGCACUGACGCUCAUGCACGAAAGCGUGGGGAGCAAACAGGAUUAGAUACCCUGGUAGUCCACGCCCUAAACGAUGUCAACUGGUUGUUGGGUCUUCACUGACUCAGUAACGAAGCUAACGCGUGAAGUUGACCGCCUGGGGAGUACGGCCGCAAGGUUGAAACUCAAAUGAAUUGACGG